GCUGCUGGAGCCGCUGCCGCUGCUGGAACAGCCGCCGGGACCUCAGCAUGUUUCUGAGCGUGCUGAGCCCGCAGCCCCGGCACCCAGCACCCACCCCACCCCGCUCCCACUCCCCCAAGCCAACCCCCGGGACCUCGCGUCAGGCGCCUGCAGCCAAUCCGGGCAAAGGCACGCCCCUAUCUUGUUUCCCCCCCCCCCACCCCCCGCACCCUCCCACCUCCCGCACCCCCCUCCCACCGGCCGUUCUGCUGCUCGGGGGAGUCCGGGGGCAGAUCGCCGCACGAGCGCCGCCCCCGCCCCCGCCGGUUCCUGCGGGCGCGCCCUUCCCGCGCUCGCGGGUUCCGGGGCCCCGUGCCCUUCUACCCCACCACUGCGCCCGGCUCCCACCCCAGUCCCCGCCGCUCCCCGAAGCUCCCACUCUCUCCCACAGUCCGCCCCCUCCCGCGCCCUUUCUGCCUCUGGCGUUUGGCUCCCUCCUUGCGCCCCCGCUCCGCCGGCAUCCUCUCCACCUCCAGUGCCCAGGUUCCCUGCCGAGCCGAGCGCGUGUUCGCCUUAGCGGGGAGGGGGCCUCGGCGUUCCCUGCCGAGCGCCGGAGCGCCUCGGACAGUCUGUCCGCUGGGGUUGGAGGAGUUCGGCUGCCGGGUUGUUUCUCGGAUCCGGCAGCCUUGCAGAGUGUGUUGUAAAACCCCUCCCCCGUCAAGAGGGGACCCAGCCAGCCUGCGUCCUGCCAGCUCGGGGGACCGGAGGCGGGUGUCAGUGGUUAGAGGAAAACUUUCCAGCAGAGCGCCUUGCCGCCUUGCCGGAGCAAACCUGGCAUCUGUCAAGAACGCUCUCUGUGCGCUCUUCCUGCAAGGAGCUUCUGUUCCAGUGCAGUAGACGCAGAAGGCAAGCGAAGGUUUGUGCAUCUGAACAGCUAACGCUGAGGACCAGUUGGAAAAUCACAGGCUCCUCAGCCCCAGCUAAUUACUACCUCCAGCAGCACCGCUAUAGGCCGCGGCAUAAAGCAGAAAACGCUUCGUUUUAUGCAAAACCGAGGGUGGCAAAGAAGGCAGCUUCCAACGAGUGGAAAUUGGAUAAUUGAAUCAAUGUGUUCUUUUUUAAAAGCGAGAGGAUGUAGUAAAGUAUCUAAUUUGGACUGAGGGCAAGCAGAAUGGCUUCUCAUGUUUCACACUAAAGAUGGCCCCCCAGGUAAGUGACAUGCAGACCCUGGUGAGAACAGUCACCUUUGCUGUAGGAUUACAGCCGGGCACAAAGUCACGAAUGCCACAGGCUGACUGUGGUCAGAUCAAGACGUCAUGUACGCUGAAUCUCUUCUGGGAUUCAGACGUCUUACAGUUGACUUGACUUAUCCAGCACUGAGACUGUUAGUCUCUACUCCCUCCAGAUUCCUCCUCCAGUCUUCCCAGCUCAGGAAAUAGCACUGCCAUUCACACCUUGGAUAUCGCCUGGCAUCUGUGAGGCACAGAGAAAGCAUUCGUUGGACGCUGUUGAAGGAGAAGAGUUCGACUCCCACCUGGUCCUGAAUAAACCCUCUUGAUCCACUA